rnacentral:rRNA from 1 species
GUUGUAUGGUUAAGUGACUAAGCGUACAUGGUGGAUGCCUUGGCAGUCAGAGGCGAUGAAGGACGUACUAACCUGCGAUAAGCUGUGAGAAGUCGGUAAGAGACGCUAUUACUCACAGAUUUCCGAAUGGGGAAACCCACCCGAGAUAACUCGGGUAUCUGUUACUGAAUACAUAGGUAACAGAGGCGAACCGGGAGAACUGAAACAUCUAAGUACCCCGAGGAAAAGAAAUCAACCGAGAUUCCCUCAGUAGCGGCGAGCGAACGGGGAUUAGCCCUUAAGCAUCUUGGAAGUUAGUGGAACGGUCCUGGAAAGGCCGGCGAUACAGGGUGAUAGCCCCGUACACGAAAACAACCUUGAUGUGAAAUCGAGUAGGGCGGGACACGUGACAUCCUGUCUGAAUAUGGGGGGACCAUCCUCCAAGGCUAAAUACUCCUGACUGACCGAUAGUGAACCAGUACCGUGAGGGAAAGGCGAAAAGAACCCCUGUGAGGGGAGUGAAAUAGAACCUGAAACCGUGUACGUACAAGCAGUGGGAGCCCUUCGGGGUGACUGCGUACCUUUUGUAUAAUGGGUCAGCGACUUACAUUUUGUAGCGAGGUUAACCGUAUAGGGGAGCCGUAGGGAAACCGAGUCUUAACUGGGCGUCUAGUUGCAAGGUGUAGACCCGAAACCGGGUGAUCUAGCCAUGGGCAGGUUGAAGGUUGAGUAACAUCAACUGGAGGACCGAACCCACUAACGUUGCAAAGUUAGGGGAUGACCUGUGGCUGGGGGUGAAAGGCCAAUCAAACUCGGAGAUAGCUGGUUCUCCCCGAAAGCUAUUUAGGUAGCGCCUCGGACGAAUACUACUGGGGGUAGAGCACUGUUUGGGCUAGGGGGUCAUCCCGACUUACCAACCCCAUGCAAACUCCGAAUACCAGUAAGUAAUAUCCGGGAGACACACGGCGGGUGCUAACGUCCGUCGUGAAGAGGGAAACAACCCAGACCGCCGGCUAAGGUCCCAAAGUUCUGGUUAAGUGGGAAACGAUGUGGGAAGGCUCAGACAGCUAGGAUGUUGGCUUAGAAGCAGCCAUCAUUUAAAGAAAGCGUAAUAGCUCACUAGUCGAGUCGGCCUGCGCGGAAGAUGUAACGGGGCUCAAACCAGGCACCGAAGCCGCGGAUUCACACUUAUGUGUGAGUGGUAGGGGAGCGUUCUGUAAGUCUGCGAAGGUGUAUCGAGAGGUAUGCUGGAGAUAUCAGAAGUGCGAAUGCUGACGUAAGUAACGAUAAAGGGGGUGAAAAGCCUCCUCGCCGGAAGACCAAGGGUUCCUGUCCAACGUUAAUCGGGGCAGGGUGAGUCGACCCCUAAGGUGAGGCCGAAAGGCGUAAUCGAUGGGAAGCAGGUUAAUAUUCCUGCACGACUUGUAAUUGCGAUGGGGGGACGGAGAAGGCUAGGUGGGCCAGGCGACGGUUGUCCUGGUGAAAGUGCGUAGGUGGUGUUUCUAGGCAAAUCCGGAGACACAACACUGAGACACGAGACGAACGCACUACGGUGCGGAAGCCAUUGAUGCCCUGCUUCCAGGAAAAGCCUCUAAGCUUCAGAUUACAAGUCAUCGUACCCCAAACCGACACAGGUGGUCGGGUAGAGAAUACCAAGGCGCUUGAGAGAACUCGGGUGAAGGAACUAGGCAAAAUAGAACCGUAACUUCGGGAGAAGGUUCGCUC